UCCGUCUGCGACGCAAGCUCCGCGCGGGGCGCCUGACUCCGACCAAUCACUCAAUCGCCAUCCACUUUGUGAGGCAGGGGCCGCCCGCUACCCCUCCGAGAAAACGACGCGUGGCGAUCAUCUUUGUUAUGGGCGAGACGUCUCUCUGCCAUCUUUACUGAGGGCAAAACGAGAGCCCUGCCCUCCGCUGUAUCGAUACGAGCCAUGUUUACUGAGAGAAACGCCCGUCCCCCGCCCUUCAGGGGAACGCAAAACAGGAACGUCACCGGUAACGUCCUCAAAAAUUCCCCUGCUCCUUUCAGUGGAAGCUCAGCCCUGCCCUAGGCUCUCCCUUCGGCACCUGCCCAGAGUGACUGGGGAAAAAAAAAUCCUUCCUGGGGCAGAUGACAAACCGCCUUGCCUUGCACUUGGGCUGCGAAUAGUUCGACGCUGGCUCGGGCUGUCGAGCUCCAAGGCAGGCUGGUGAGAGGGGCAUGGAAAUUGCCUUGUGAAGGAGAACGAUGAAGCAGCAGUGUUUGUGUGUGAGCGCAGGGGAGCCUUUUCUGGAAAAGUAAACAGUGGCCUCAGCUCCCAUAGUUUAUUCUGAGACUCACCAUAUUUGGUGGGUUUCCUCCCGCCCUUUAAAGUCCCAGUUCUUGGAGUCAUGUGAUUACCUCAGAAUCUCAGCUUUCAUUUAAGAGAAAAUAGGAAUACUAGGAAGACAGUCCACAUUAAGGAGUGUGUUUUGGAACUGAAGAAUCCCCUGACCAGAUUCAAGAAAGAGAUAACUUGGAGUUCCAGUUAACAAAAUGCACGUAAGACGAGUUUGGCUGCAAAGAAGAAUUCUGUGUACACUGGGGACAACAUCUGAUUCCUGUAAGGCUGCAGAACUGACAUCAGAAUCCAAACAUACUCUGGUCAGUGCAAGCAGAGACAUUCCUCAAAUGAUUUGGACUUGAUGUGAUGCAGUAUGGAUGUCAUGGAUAAUUCAGACCAAUGGGGAGAAACAGAAUCAAAAACACUGUUUAAGCACCUUCCAUCCCCCCACCCCACCCCUCCCCUUUUGAGGACU